CGCCUGCUUCGGGCAGUGCGACCCAGGACCACACAGGACCCCGUGCUGCCAAGGGCCCGGAGCUUAGUUCCCGCUCUGCUAUCACCGCCUCGAAAUUCACAGUAAUUUGGGAACGAGUUUACCCAUCUUUUCGUUGCUGGGGCCUAUCCCUCCCGCGCCGCAGUGAAAUGAGGAUAUCCCACUUUGCGGACCGAGAAGUGAGGCUGUCAGAUCGGGCUCCGGUCGCCGGUGGAAGUGGCCGUGUAGCGACAUCGUGACCCAAGCGCCAAGCUCUUCCUGCCCACAUAAGAGGAAGCCUGGGCAAACUGCCUCGAAACGCAGACCGAGGCCUCCGGCCAGGCCCGUCGGGAGCCGCCUCCAGGCCCACAGUCCUUGGGUGGAGCUGGGCUCGGACAGCGGCCACGAGUGUGCAUGCGGCCCUUGUCACUGAGUCCCGGGACGGGCUGGGGCAGGGUCAAGUGACAGAGCUGUUCUCAGAGUCUCGAUUUCAGCUCCAGCUCGGGAUAGAAAAAUUCUCCCCCCUUUCCCAGCGGCAUGCUCCGGGGCAGUUGGCCUCCCUGAGCCUUGCUUUCAUCAGAAGUAAACAAAGGAUAAUCUUCUCUGGGCAGCUCAAGGAGGAAUGAAUACCUCAAGGGCCUGGCAAGUUGCAGGAUUCUACCUUCAGCGGAACUGAACUAUCCGAAGUGCCUUUGGUGCCUGUCACAUUUCCUCCUCUUAUGCUGUAGCAGUCACUGUGGCUUCUUCCUGGAAUAUUAUUUCCACUUUGUCCAGGAGCAAACCUCAAAUCACCCUCGAAGACCCCAUAGAAUUGUCACCACUUUGAGAAAACUUCCCGCCCUUGAGUGUGGCUGACUUGUCCUUCCACUGGGUCUCUGCUGCACAGUGUACUCCUGCAUCCAAGUGAGCAUCUGUUCUACUCUUCCUGAGUCUGUGUCUCAGGGCCCCAAAGCCCCUUGAGGUCAAAGUCCCCAUCAUGUCCGUCUCCUCAGCACAUGCACAGCCCUUCACACAGCAUCUGCUGAAUGACCACAUCUCUCACCCACAUUCCUGAGGUUUUAACAACACGGAGCAGUGCACUUACCUGGGA
ensembl:lncRNA